rnacentral:rRNA from 1 species
AGAGUUUGAUCCUGGCUCAGAACGAACGCUGGCGGCAUGCCUAACACAUGCAAGUCGAACGAAGCCUUCGGGCUUAGUGGCGCACGGGUGCGUAACGCGUGGGAAUCUGCCCUUGGGUUCGGAAUAACAGCGAGAAAUUGCUGCUAAUACCGGAUGAUGACGUAAGUCCAAGGAUUUAUCGCCCAAGGAUGAGCCCGCGUAGGAUUAGCUAGUUGGUGAGGUAAAGGCUCACCAAGGCGACGAUCCUUAGCUGGUCUGAGAGGAUGAUCAGCCACACUGGGACUGAGACACGGCCCAGACUCCUACGGGAGGCAGCAGUGGGGAGUAUUGGACAAUGGGCGAAAGCCUGAUCCAGCAAUGCCGCGUGAGUGAUGAAGGCCUUAGGGUUGUAAAGCUCUUUUACCCGGGAUGAUAAUGACAGUACCGGGAGAAUAAGCUCCGGCUAACUCCGUG